CCUACGGGAGGCUGCAGUGAGGAAUAUUGGUCAAUGGACGAGAGUCUGAACCAGCCAAGUAGCGUGAAGGAUGACUGCCCUAUGGGUUGUAAACUUCUUUUAUAUGGGAAUAAAAUGUUCCACGUGUGGGAUUUUGUAUGUACCAUAUGAAUAAGGAUCGGCUAACUCCGUGCCAGCAGCCGCGGUAAUACGGAGGAUCCGAGCGUUAUCCGGAUUUAUUGGGUUUAAAGGGAGCGUAGGUGGAUUGUUAAGUCAGUUGUGAAAGUUUGCGGCUGAACCGUAAAAUUGCAGUUGAAACUGGCAGUCUUGAGUACAGUAGAGGUGGGCGGAAUGCGUGGUGUAGCGGUGAAAUGCUUAGAUAUCACGAAGAACUCCGAUUGCGAAGGCAGUUCACUGGACUGCAACUGACACUGAGGCACGAAAGUGUGGGUAUCAAACAGGAUUAGAUACCCUUGUAGUC
rnacentral:rRNA from 1 species